UGUAAGCGUAUACCAAAGUUGUUGCAGUUAAAAAGCUCGUAGUUGAACUUCUGGUAGGAGUGUCCCGGCCUUUUUGUUUUUACAAAUUGUAUGCUGUGUGACAUCUCUGGCCAUCCUUCUUCUUUGUUUAAAGAAGAUCUUUCACUGUAAAAAAAUUAGGGUGUUCAAAGCAAAAGUUUCUUUGGAAUAUAUUAGUAUGGGAUGAUAAGAUAGGCUCUAGAUGCUAUUUUGUUGGUUUGCACAUUUAGAGAAUGAUUAACAGGGACAGUUGGGGGUAUUCGUAUUUACAUGUCAGAGGUGAAAUUCUUGGAUUUUGGAAAGACGAACUACUGCGAAAGCAUUUACCAAGGAUGUUUUCAUUAA
rnacentral:rRNA from 1 species